GAUGAACGCUGGCGGCGUGCCUAAUACAUGCAAGUCGAGCGAAUGGAUUAAGAGCUUGCUCUUAUGAAGUUAGCGGCGGACGGGUGAGUAACACGUGGGUAACCUGCCCAUAAGACUGGGAUAACUCCGGGAAACCGGGGCUAAUACCGGAUAACAUUUUGAACCGCAUGGUUCGAAAUUGAAAGGCGGCUUCGGCUGUCACUUAUGGAUGGACCCGCGUCGCAUUAGCUAGUUGGUGAGGUCACGGCUCACCAAGGCAACGACGCGUAGCCGACGUGGGAGGGGGAUCGGCCAACGUGGGACUGAGACCCGGGCCAGACUCCUACGGGAGGCAGCAGUAGGUAAUCUUCCGCAAUGGACGAAAGUCUGACGGAGCAACGCCGAGUGAGUAAUGAAGGAUUUCGGGUCGUAAAACUCUGUUGUUAGGGAAGAACAAGUGCUAGUUGAAUAAGCUGGCACCUUGACGGUACCUAACCAGAAAGCCACGGCUAACUACGUGCCAGCCGCCGCCGUAA
rnacentral:rRNA from 1 species